GUAGAUCUUUAUACACGUACACUGAAGUUCUUUGACUGUGUAUGUGAAAAUUCAAAUUUCAAACUGCGCGAAUACUACUAGCGCCACACGCGGUAGUCAAAGAACUUCAGUGUAUGUGUAUAAAGAUCUAU
rnacentral:pre_miRNA from 1 species